UUUUUGAUUAAUAAUUUAAAGUCUAAUCUGCCCACUGAUAAUAUAUUAAAGGGCUGCAGUAUUUUGACUGUACAAAGGUAGCAUAAUCAUUAGUCUCUUAAUUGGUGACUUGUAUGAAGGAUUUGAUGAAAUAUAUACUGUCUCUUUUUAAUUUAUAAAAUUUAAUUUUUUAGUUAAAAAGCUAAAAUUUAUUUAAAAGACGAGAAGACCCUAUAGAGUUUUAUAUUUAUAUAAAUUAAAAUUUUUUAUAAGAUUUAAAAUUUCAAUUUAUAUAAAUAUUUUGUUGGGGUGAUAAAAAAAUUAAAAUAACUUUUUUUAUAAUUUUACAUUAAUAAAUGGAUAAAUGAUCCGUAAUUUACGAUUAUAAGAUAAAAUUACCUUAGGGAUAACAGCGUAAUUUUUUUUUUUAGUUCAAAUAAGAAAAAAAGUUUGCGACCUCGAUGUUGGAUUAAGAUAAAAUUUAAAUGCAAAAGUUUAAAAUUUUUGAUCUGUUCGAUCAUUAAAAUCUUACA
rnacentral:rRNA from 1 species